ACCUCCAGCCCUUUGUUGUUAAAACUACCUUGUUGCUUUGGCGGGACCGCUCGGUUCCGAGCCGCUGGGGAUUCGUCCCAGGCGAGUGCCCGCCAGAGUUAAACCAAACUCUUGUUAUUAAACCGGUCGUCUGAGUUAAAAUUUUGAAUAAAUCAAAACUUUCAACAACGGAUCUCUUGGUUCUCGCAUCGAUGAAGAACGCAGCGAAAUGCGAUAAGUAAUGUGAAUUGCAGAAUUCAGUGAAUCAUCGAAUCUUUGAACGCACAUUGCGCCCCUUGGUAUUCCGAGGGGCAUGCCUGUUCGAGCGUCAUUACACCACUCAAGCUAUGCUUGGUAUUGGGUGCCGUCCUUAGUUGGGCGCGCCUUAAAGACCUCGGCGAGGCCACUCCGGCUUUAGGCGUAGUAGAAUUUAUUCGAACGUCUGUCAAAGGAGAGGAACUCUGCCGAUUGAAACCUUUAUUUUUCUAGGUUGACCUCGGAUCAGGUAGGGAUACCCGCUGAACUUAAGCAUAUCAAUAAGCGGAG
rnacentral:rRNA from 1 species